rnacentral:rRNA from 1 species
UAGGGAAUUUUCGUCAAUGGGGGAAGCCCUGAACGAGCAAUGCCGCGUGUGUGAAGAAGGUCUUCGGAUCGUAAAGCACUGUUGUAAGUGAAGGAUGCCAUAUAGAGGAAAUGCUAUGUGGGUGACGGUAGCUUACCAGAAAGCCACGGCUAACUACGUGCCAGCAGCCGCGGUAAUGCGUAGGUGGCAAGCGUUAUCCGGGAAUCAUUGGGCGUAAAGGGUGCGUAGGUGGCACGAUAAGUCUGAAGUAAAAGGCAACAGCUCAACUGUUGUAUGCUUUGGAAACUGUCGAGCUAGAGUGCAGAAGAGGGCGAUGGAAUUCCAUGUGUAGCGGUAAAAUGCGUAGAUAUAUGGAGGAACACCAGUGGCGAAGGCGGUCGCCUGGUCUGUAACUGACACUGAUGCACGAAAGCGUGGGGAGCAAAUAGGAUUAGAUACC